CAGCAGCCGCGGUAAUUCCAGCUCCAAUAGCGUAUUGUAAAGUUGUUGCAGUUAAAAAGCUCGUAGUUGGAUUUCGGGCUCGACGGCGACGGUCAGCCGCAAGGUAUGUCACUGUCGACGUUGGCCUUCUUCGCGCAGACUUCGCGUGCUCUUAACUGAGUGUGCGUUGGAUACGCGACGUUUACUUUGAAAAAAUUAGAGUGUUCAAAGCAGGCUUGUGCUUGGAUACAUAAGCAUGGAAUAAUGGAAUAGGACUUUGGUUCUAUUUUCCGUUGGUUUCUGGAACCGAAGUAAUGAUUAAUAGGGACAGUUGGGGGCAUUCGUAUUUCGUUGUCAGAGGUGAAAUUCUUGGAUUUACGAAAGACGAACUAAUGCGAAAGCAUUUGCCAAGAAUGUUUUCAUUAAUCAAGAACGAAAGUUAGAGGAUCGAAGACGAUCAGAUACCGUCCUAGUUCUAACCAUAAACGAUGCCGACUAGGGAUCAGCGAGUGUUAUUUGAUGACCUCGUUGGCACCUUAUGGGAAACCAAAGUUUUUGGGUUCCGGGGGAAGUAUGGUUGCAAAGCUGAAACUUAAAGGAAUUGACGGAAGGGCACCACCAGGAGUGGAGCCUGCGGCUUAAUUUGACUCAACACGGG
rnacentral:rRNA from 7 species